rnacentral:tRNA from 1 species
GCCCGGAUGGCGGAAUUGGUAGACGCAGCGGACUCAAAAUCCGCCGGCCUUAGGCCUUGCGAGUUCGAGUCUCGCUCCGGGUACCA